GACGUAGGGCGCGAGCGUUGUCCGGAUUUAUUGGGCGUAAAGAGCUCGUAGGCGGCUUGUCGCGUCGUCCGUGAAAACCCACAGCUCAACUGUGGGCUUGCGGUCGAUACGGGCAGGCUAGAGUACUGCAGGGGAGACUGGAAUUCCCGGUGUAGCGGUGAAAUGCGUAGAGAUCGGGAGGAACACCAGAGGCGAAAGCGGCGACCUGGACAGGUACUGACACUCAACUACGAAAGCGUGGGGAGCAAACAGG
rnacentral:rRNA from 1 species